GAUGAGUCCGCAGAGAACAGGAUGGUGGUGACAUUGCUCAUAUCAGCUCUUGAGUCCAUGGAUCAUGGCACAAGUUGCAGUUUCCACCCUGCCCAUUGAAGAUGAGGAGUUUGUUGAAGAUGAGGAGUCCUUGGAGAGCAGGAUGGUGGUGACAUUCCUAAUGUCAGCUCUCGAGUCCACGAGUCUCUGUUUCACCCAAUCUGGAGUGCAAUGAUGCAGUCGUA